GACAGAGGUCCCGAGCGUUAGGCGGAAUCACUGGGCUUAAAGCGUGUGUAGGCGGAUGCCUAAGUACCUUGUGAAAUCCCACGGCUCACCCGUGGAACUGCUCGGUAUACUGGGUGUCUUGAGCCACUUAGGGGCUACCGGAACAAAUGGUGGAGCGGUGAAGUGCGUAGAUAUCAUUUGGAACGCCAAUGGUGAAAACAGGUAGCUGGGAGUGUGCUGACGCUGAGACACGAAAGCCAGGGGAGCAAACGGG
rnacentral:rRNA from 1 species